GGGGAUAUGGCUCAGUAGGUAGAGUGCUUGCCUAGCAUGCACAAGUCCCUGGGUUCAAUCCCCAGCACCACCU
rfam:Ictidomys tridecemlineatus contig102625, whole genome shotgun sequence.